UAAGGAUAAUGUAUUUAAAAUAAGUGUUGUUUGGGAUGUUUUCCAUAUACUGGUUAAAGUUGUCAUUGGUGGUUUCCAAGGAGGUGCUCAUCUGUUUUCCUUUGUUUGUUCGUUUUGUCCUCCUCUGCUUGCUUUGUUUGUGUCUGUGUGUUGUGUUUGUGUAAGAGUGCUUGCCAUGUGCAAGUCCGCUUGUUGUUGCCCUUUGUGGAGUAUCCGUAUUUGAACGUAGCUUUACCUGUAGGGUAGUAUCCAUAUCAUCCUAACUCAACGGGACCUCAUCUAAAAUAAGGCUUAAAUGAGCAGUUUAACUUUAAUGAUAAUGUUUUCAUUACUUAGUCAGACUCUAAUGAUGUUAUUAGUUUAAAUACAGAAUCGACCCAGUUUUGGCAUUUGAAAUUGAGAAUGGUUAAGUACAUAUUGCUGAAUUUUUCUAAUUUCUGUUAACGAUUUUUAUUAAAUCAAGGUUUUCAAGGUUUUCAUGCACAUAUAAAGCUAAUGUUUUAUAAAUGUUACAUUGAUCUCUCUCGUGGGAAAUAUUUUCUGAGGAAAAAAUGACCCUUAAAGCAUUGAGCGAUCUUAAAUGUAACUAUAUGGCAGUGUUGAUGUGUAAAGUUAAAGACUAUGAUGUCAUGACUUUGGUGAUAGACGAUCAGCCAGCCGCCGAUUGCACAUAUAAAACAUGUGAGAUACAUCAAAUUGAAGGAAUAAACUAUAGAUUCUCCUUUGAUACGGGUAUUGGGAUAUUCAAUAUCUCCAUGGAUCCAGUGACAUUUGCUGACAAUGGGAGGACAUUCAAAUGUGAUGAUGGUGAUACCUCGUUGCUGUUUUCAAUGCAAUUGUUAAUGUUAUCCCUGAAAACAGUGCCAACACUAUCUCGUCUGCAAAAGGUCCAUCCAACUCUACUAAAAUAAAAGCUACAUCAGGAUGCCUUUAUCCGAGUACAAGCAUCUUCUUUUGAGCAAACGUGUAGUGGAAACCUGUCCAUGAAAAAAAACAACACCACAGGUCCUGUAAUUGGCAGUAGUGCUAGGGAAACAGAAUUGAAUCUAGGAGUCAAUAUUUUGUUUUUUUUCCCUGAUACUGUAUGUGCUAUAAAGUGAUGUGAAAUAGAGCUAACAUAUUACAAUGUACAUAUUGUGUUAUAUCUACAAAUGUGUUAUCAGAAUCUUUUAUCCUAUAUUGCAUGGAAACAAGUAGAUAACUAUUCGAUUCCGCCAUAAUGCAACUGCAUUUUGUGUUCGCACCAUUUGGCUAUUUUAUCAAUUACUUAAAUUGAUUUAAUAUUUUAUUUCAUACAACCGGUCACCGUGGCCCAGUGGUAAAGGCGUCCGACUCGGGAUCGGGAGGUCGAAGGUUAGAGCCCCAUAGGGAGCGUUCGUCCGGGGGAGAUGUUUGUCAUUGGACUCGUUCCGAAAAGGCCGGUUCGUGAGCCGCGAGCUAGUUGAAUUAAUGGUUACCGAAUUCUAUCCGCCUGGCAUAGUGGUAGGUGUUGGGAGGUAAUUGGUACGCACAAUAAAGGUGUCUCAUAAGCCAAAUUGGCUCGCCCUUUCAAUAUGAGUGACACUAUAAUGAACAAGACCGUUACUUUAUUAUGCAAAAGACCACAUAGGAACAUAAAAUUAUUGAC